rnacentral:lncRNA from 1 species
CCAGGUAGAUGUGAAGCUUGGCAGUGCAUGGACAUAUACUUAACCAUACAGAGAAUAUCAGCCCAGCCUGUAGCAGGUAAACAAGAGCCCAGCACAGAAGAAAAGGCAGAGCUACAAGAAGACAGUGCCACAUUAUUUUCGUUGGAAUCUAUGUACGCAUCUAUGCCUGAAGCCAGAAGAGGUGAAGCAAAGUUGCUGACUUCAGCCUCGAGCCGAUAAGGAGGAAAAGAGCUUGGCAAGUUUAAAGAUGCUCAGUGACUGUAGGAAGAAGAUACUGGAUUUUCAAAAUAACAUUUGAUGAAAGCAACUGCCUGUCUGGUGGAGUUUGUAUUGUUUCAACCUAAAGCCCUGAAUGAUGUGAAUGGUUAACCAUUUAUAAACCACUGAAGUUGACUCAGCACAUUAUCUUGUACAUGGUGGAC